rnacentral:rRNA from 1 species
AGAGUUUGAUCAUGGCUCAGAGCGAACGCUGGCGGCAGGCUUAACACAUGCAAGUCGAGCGGGCACCUUCGGGUGUCAGCGGCAGACGGGUGAGUAACACGUGGGAACGUGCCCUUUGGUUCGGAACAACUCCGGGAAACUGGAGCUAAUACCGGAUAAGCCCUUCGGGGGAAAGAUUUAUCGCCAAAGGAUCGGCCCGCGUCUGAUUAGCUUGUUGGUGAGGUAAUGGCUCACCAAGGCGACGAUCAGUAGCUGGUCUGAGAGGAUGAUCAGCCACACUGGGACUGAGACACGGCCCAGACUCCUACGGGAGGCAGCAGUGGGGAAUAUUGGACAAUGGGCGCAAGCCUGAUCCAGCCAUGCCGCGUGAGUGAUGAAGGCCCUAGGGUUGUAAAGCUCUUUCGGCGGGGACGAUAAUGACGGUACCCGCAGAAGAAGCCCCGGCUAACUUCGUGCCAGCAGCCGCGGUAAUACGAAGGGGGCUAGCGUUGUUCGGAAUCACUGGGCGUAAAGGGCGCGUAGGCGGCUUGAUAAGUCGGGGGUGAAAGCCUGUGGCUCAACCACAGAAUUGCCUUCGAUACUGUCUGGCUUGAGACCGGAAGAGGUAAGUGGAACUGCGAGUGUAGAGGUGAAAUUCGUAGAUAUUCGCAAGAACACCAGUGGCGAAGGCGGCUUACUGGUCCGGUUCUGACGCUGAGGCGCGAAAGCGUGGGGAGCAAACAGGAUUAGAUACCCUAGUAGUCC